rnacentral:rRNA from 1 species
AUUGAACGCUGGCGGCAUGCCUUACACAUGCAAGUCGAACGGUAACAGGUCUUCGGAUGCUGACGAGUGGCGAACGGGUGAGUAAUAUAUCGGAACGUGCCCAGUCGUGGGGGAGUAACGCAGCGAAAGCUGUGCUAAUACCGCAUACGAUCUAUGGAUGAAAGCGGGGGAGUCGCAAGACCUCGCGCGAUUGGAGCGGCCGAUAUCAGAUUAGGUAGUUGGUGGGGUAAAGGCCCACCAAGCCAACGAUCUGUAGCUGGUCUGAGAGGACGACCAGCCACACUGGAACUGAGACACGGUCCAGACUCCUACGGGAGGCAGCAGUGGGGAAUUUUGGACAAUGGGCGCAAGCCUGAUCCAGCAAUGCCGCGUGCAGGAUGAAGGCCUUCGGUUGUAAACUGCUUUGUACGGAACGAAAAGGCUCUGGUUAAUACCUGGGGCGUCAUGACGGUACCGUAAGAAUAAGCACCGGCUAACUACGUGCC